rnacentral:lncRNA from 1 species
GAAACAUUUCUCCCUAACAUUGCUACAGCAGUUGUUAGCUUCACAUUGUAACACCUGAAAUCCUCCUGUUACAGAGCUACUCUCUGUCCUAACUCUAUUUCUCUUCCCAGACUGUCCUACCCACCUCCACUCAGUAAUCUUGUAUACUGAAGUAAAACCAGAAAAGUAAACUGCAGUGCACCUGGACAGGAAUGUGCAAACAUGGGAAAGAUUCUUCACUGGGGAGACAUGCAGGAGAUGCCUUCCUUUCCUCCAGAAAUCUAUUUUUUGAAGAUGUCAUCACUGCAGCGUGGAGUCAGGAAAUGAAGAAAACAACAGAGCUUUCCUCAGGUCAUCUUGGGGUCUUUCAGUAAACUGAAAGUAACUGAGUUAGAAAGGAAUCUCCGGGAGAGGCCAGGGGAGUACCACCAGCCCACCACUACAGAGAAGUUCAAAGCUAAGCUACUCACAGAAAACAAUGCUCAACCACAGGGCGGAUGUGCUGUUUUUCACACCCCAAGUCAUUUAUCUGAAAAGCAAUAGCAGUAAAUUCUUCAAGUGUUUGCUGUGAUCGGAUUUCUCCAGAAGAAAGAAGAUAAAGAAUGCUAAACUUCUCCAUCCCAUGUUUGCCUCACACACCUGUUUCUCCUAGGCAGAUUCUUUAAACCUUUUUUUCCUCACUUUUCAACAAGAAACUAUAAAAUUAAAACAAUUAUUUUUAAUCUUUGGGGAUAUUCACUUAAUUAAUAUGUUCACUGUUAUAUCUGUUGUGACAAUAAGAGAAUCUCCCUGGAAAGUGAACACAAUUUCCACAUGGGCAAAUGACAGGAGUAUUAAUUAGCUCAACAUGCCACUAAGGCUUUAACUCUAAUAGUCUAU